AUCUUGAGGGCAAUGAAAUAAUUGAUUAUCCAACUUCACAACUUAGCUAAUUGUCAAGGACAAGAACAUAAUAAAGACAAAUAAAAAAGUGAGACUUCUGUCAUAAAAAGAUGACAAAAUAGAAACAACUUGAUAUAUAUAUUAAAAAAGAAACUAGAAUGGCUAUUGCCAAAAGCCAAAAAAACUAAAGAUCCUUGAAACUAGACUGGAAAGAAAGAAAGGAGUUAACAAGAAUGAAGAAGGCUUCACUCUUGUCUCUAUAUAUACUAUCUAACUAGGAGCUACAUGGCGACGUUUUAUAGGACCUCCAAUAUGUGUUGACUUUGUAGGACACAUGCCUUGACUUACAAGGCAAGUUUUUCUACGUGUGGGCUACAUAGUUAGCUUGGUCUUCAAGUUAACAACAUGUGUGGUACAUGGCCAACUUGUU
rnacentral:lncRNA from 1 species